rnacentral:rRNA from 1 species
UACAGAGGGGGCCAGCGUUAUUCGGAAUUAUUGGGCGUAAAGGGCGCGUAGGCGGCUUUGCGUGUCUUUCGUGAAAUCCCUCGGCUCAACUGAGGACGUGCGGAAGAAACUGCAGGGCUGGAGUCCGGGAGAGGAGGGUGGAAUUCCCAGUGUAGCGGUGAAAUUCGUAGAUAUUCGCAAGAACACCAGUGGCGAAGGCGGCUUACUGGUCCGGUUCUGACGCUGAGGCGCGAAAGCGUGGGGAGCAAACAGG